rnacentral:rRNA from 1 species
GUGGGGAAUAUUGCACAAUGGGCGAAAGCCUGAUGCAGCAACGCCGCGUGAGGGACGACGGCCUUCGGGUUGUAAACCUCUUUUAGUAGGGAAGAAGCGAAAGUGACGGUACCUGCAGAAAAAGCACCGGCUAACUACGUGCCAGCAGCCGCGGUAAUACGUAGGGUGCAAGCGUUAUCCGGAAUUAUUGGGCGUAAAGAGCUCGUAGGCGGUCUGUCGCGUCUGCUGUGAAAACUGGAGGCUCAACCUCCAGCCUGCAGUGGGUACGGGCAGACUAGAGUGCGGUAGGGGAGAUUGGAAUUCCUGGUGUAGCGGUGGAAUGCGCAGAUAUCAGGAGGAACACCGAUGGCGAAGGCAGAUCUCUGGGCCGUAACUGACGCUGAGGAGCGAAAGCGUGGGGAGCAAACAGGAUUAGAUACCCGGGUAGUCC